rnacentral:rRNA from 1 species
CACUAGAAGCCGAUGAAGGACGUUACUAACGACGAUAUGCUUUGGGGAGCUGUAAGUAAGCUUUGAUCCAGAGAUUUCCGAAUGGGGAAACCCAGCAUGAGUUAUGUCAUGUUAUCGAUAUGUGAAUACAUAGCAUAUCAGAAGGCACACCCGGAGAACUGAAACAUCUUAGUACCCGGAGGAAGAGAAAGAAAAUUCGAUUCCCUUAGUAGCGGCGAGCGAAACGGGAAGAGCCCAAACCAACAAGCUUGCUUGUUGGGGUUGUAGGACACUCUAUACGGAGUUACAAAGGACGACAUUAGACGAAUCAUCUGGAAAGAUGAAUCAAAGAAGGUAAUAAUCCUGUAGUCGAAAAUGUUGUCUCUCUUGAGUGGAUCCUGAGUACGACGGAGCACGUGAAAUUCCGUCGGAAUCUGGGAGGACCAUCUCCUAAGGCUAAAUACUCUCUAGUGACCGAUAGUGAACCAGUACCGUGAGGGAAAGGUGAAAAGCACCCCGGAAGGGGAGUGAAAUAGAACCUGAAACCGUGUGCUUACAAGUAGUCAGAGCCCGUUAAUGGGUGAUGGCGUGCCUUUUGUAGAAUGAACCGGCGAGUUACGAUUUGAUGCAAGGUUAAGCAGUAAAUGUGGAGCCGUAGCGAAAGCGAGUCUGAAUAGGGCGUUUAGUAUUUGGUCGUAGACCCGAAACCAGGUGAUCUACCCUUGGUCAGGUUGAAGUUCAGGUAACACUGAAUGGAGGACCGAACCGACUUACGUUGAAAAGUGAGCGGAUGAACUGAGGGUAGCGGAGAAAUUCCAAUCGAACCUGGAGAUAGCUGGUUCUCUCCGAAAUAGCUUUAGGGCUAGCCUCAAGUGAUGAUUAUUGGAGGUAGAGCACUGUUUGGACGAGGGGCCCCUCUCGGGUUACCGAAUUCAGACAAACUCCGAAUGCCAAUUAAUUUAACUUGGGAGUCAGAACAUGGGUGAUAAGGUCCGUGUUCGAAAGGGAAACAGCCCAGACCACCAGCUAAGGUCCCAAAAUAUAUGUUAAGUGGAAAAGGAUGUGGCGUUGCCCAGACAACUAGGAUGUUGGCUUAGAAGCAGCCAUCAUUUAAAGAGUGCGUAAUAGCUCACUAGUCGAGUGACACUGCGCCGAAAAUGUACCGGGGCUAAACAUAUUACCGAAGCUGUGGAUUGUCCUUUGGACAAUGGUAGGAGAGCGUUCUAAGGGCGUUGAAGCAUGAUCGUAAGGACAUGUGGAGCGCUUAGAAGUGAGAAUGCCGGUGUGAGUAGCGAAAGACGGGUGAGAAUCCCGUCCACCGAUUGACUAAGGUUUCCAGAGGAAGGCUCGUCCGCUCUGGGUUAGUCGGGUCCUAAGCUGAGGCCGACAGGCGUAGGCGAUGGAUAACAGGUUGAUAUUCCUGUACCACCUAUAAUCGUUUUAAUCGAUGGGGGGACGCAGUAGGAUAGGCGAAGCGUGCGAUUGGAUUGCACGUCUAAGCAGUAAGGCUGAGUAUUAGGCAAAUCCGGUACUCGUUAAGGCUGAGCUGUGAUGGGGAGAAGACAUUGUGUCUUCGAGUCGUUGAUUUCACACUGCCGAGAAAAGCCUCUAGAUAGAAAA